GUUAAGAAUAACGGGAGUGUUAAUAUUUUUAGAAGAGGUUUGUAACCAUUACAAUAUAUUUUUCAUCCUUCUCGCCCUAUUUUUCAGCCUUUCCGUCCCAAGAUUUUACACUCACUUUAACUUUUUUCCUAAUUUCAAACACCGAAGCGCGUUUUCCUUUUCGUUUUCAUUUCAACUAGGGUUCAUCUCUGUCAUCAAAUCAUAGUCGUAGGUGCUCCUAUCGCUCGUCAGCCGGUGCUCGUCUCCUAGUGCUCAUCGGCCAGUGGUUGUAGUGCUCGUAGUCUAUCGUCUUCUGAUUUCCAACAUCCUUGGCUUUCUAGGGUGAAUUUUUGGUGGGAAAGGGGUGAUGGUGUUGUCGUGCACUAACCCUCUGCUCUGGUUGCACGUGAUGGUGGUGUGGAUGCCGCGGUGGGCGCAUGCGGAAAGGGACCCUAAGAUACCGGUGGUGAGGGACAGGGAUGAGACGGUGAUGGUGUCACAGUUCAUGAUGGAGUUGCAGGGGCUGAAUGUUGUGGACAAAGAAGAACUGGAAAAAUCCUAGAGGAGUCCUAAUAUCACCUGGGCCAGAUUUGGAACUUGAACCAUCCGUACCAUUGUUUGGUGUGUGCUUUGCAGUGCAUUAGUGAGGCUUAUGGAGAUUCGAGUAGUUGUAGCGUUUGUCGGGGAGGUCAGAGCACUACAGGCCUAUUCCUCUACGUUGAGAACUGCACAAUGGCUACAGAAUUGGAUUUGCAAAGGGAAUGGGAUUGUGUCAUGUAUGAAGUUGAAGACUUGGGCAGAAUGACACAUUUUUGAGAGAUUUAGAAAAUGAUAAGAUUUGCCCCUUAAAUAUUAUUUUCUUCAAUAUUAUGCAUUUUUUUUAUAUUUUACAUUGUAAUUUCCGAUUAAUACUUUAUCUUAAAU